GUGUCAGCAGCCGCGGUAAGACGUAGGAGGCGAGCGUUGUCCGGCAUCAUUGGGCGUAAAGAGCGCGCAGGCGGCUUGGUAAGUCGGAUGUGAAAACCCGGUGGCUCAACCACGGGCCUGCAUCCGAUACUGCCCGGCUAGAGGUAGGUAGGGGAGAUCGGAAUUCCUGGUGUAGCGGUGAAAUGCGCAGAUAUCAGGAGGAACACCGGUGGCGAAGGCGGAUCUCUGGGCCUUACCUGACGCUCAGGCGCGAAAGCUAGGGGAGCGAACAGGAUUAGAAACCCCCGUAGUCC
rnacentral:rRNA from 1 species